ACCCCGGGUGUUACAGGCAGCACCACGCACCUCACAAAUCUUUCUGUCAGCUGACGUACAAAAUCAAAAAUCUCAUUCCAGUUCGUUGCCACGCUCCCAGACCUGAAAGGGAAAACCACAGCAUAUAAGCGGCCUGAUCUCGGGUGACAUUUCGGGGAGAAGCUUACAAUAUUCGCUGUUCCAAACACCUGGAGUCACGGCCAGCCCGGCUGGGAUCGGCAUUCGCCGGCCGUGGAGGUGAAUCAGACACAUUGUCUGCUCCAAAAAGGAUCUUGAGGCUCUUCCCUCUGCAAGAGGAGAUGGGGAAGUCAGAGUCACAGUCAUCCUGCCGGAGAGUUUUCCUUUCAUCCGAUUUCAUCCCGUUUCCUGCCGUCUCUGGAUGGUUUCCUGAAGCCACAGUGCUCUGACCUGACACGUCCAUGUCAGAGUGCCUUCUCUGUGCAGAUCUGAACGCCAAGCAUCUGUGUGAUGAUAUGAACCACACAUGGAAGUCUCAUGCUUUGUAAAAAGAUAGAGAAAUCAGAAGGACCCCAGCAGUUAUACAACGUGCAGGAGCUGUUUGGAAGCUGCCUCCUGAAGGAUUAGGUACAAAUCCUUUUUCCUUUACAGCUGUAGCCUCAUGUCUGUGCUCAUCCUGCAAAGCAGUGUAGAAAUGAAUA